UACAGAGGUCUCAAGCGUUGUUCGGAUUCAUUGGGCGUAAAGGGUGCGUAGGUGGCGCGUUAAGUCAGGUGUGAAAUUUCGGAGCUUAACUCCGAAACUGCAUUUGAUACUGGCGUGCUUGAGGACUGGAGAGGAGACUGGAAUUCAUGGUGUAGCAGUGAAAUGCGUAGAGAUCAUGAGGAAGACCAGUGGCGAAGGCGGGUCUCUGGACAGUUCCUGACACUGAGGCGCGAAGGCCAGGGGAGCAAACGGG
rnacentral:rRNA from 1 species